AGCAGUAGCCGCGGGAAUACGGAGGGUGCAAGCGUUAAUCGGAAUUACUGGGCAUAAAGCGCACGCAGGCGGUCUGACAAGUCAGAUGUGAAAUCCCCGGGCUUAACCUGGGAACUGCAUUUGAAACUGUCAGGCUGGAGUCUUGUAGAGGGGGGUGGAAUUCCAGGUGUAGCGGUGAAAUGCGUAGAGAUCUGGAGGAAUACCGGUGGCGAAGGCGGCCCCCUGGACAAAGACUGACGCUCAGGUGCGAAAGCGUGGGGAGCAAACAGGAUUAGAGACCCCAGUAGUCCCUGUCUCUUAUAC
rnacentral:rRNA from 1 species